rnacentral:rRNA from 1 species
CCUACGGGAGGCAGCAGUGAGGAAUAUUGGUCAAUGGACGAGAGUCUGAACCAGCCAAGCAGCGUGAAGGAUGACUGCCCUAUGGGUUGUAAACUUCUUUUAUAUGGGAAUAAAAUGUUCCACGUGUGGGAUUUUGUAUGUACCAUUUGAAUAAGGAUCGGCUAACUCCGGGCCAGCAGCCGCGGUAAUACGGAGGAUCCGAGCGUUAUCCGGAUUUUUUGGGUUUAAAGGGAGCGUAGGUGGAUGGUUAAGUCAGUUGUGAAAGUUUGCGGCUCAACCGUAAAAUUGCAGUUGAAACUGGCAGUCUUGAGUACAGUAGAGGUGGGCGGAAUGCGUGGUGUAGCGGUGAAAUGCUUAGAUAUCACGAAGAACUCCGAUUGCGAAGGCAGCUCACUGGACUGCAACUGACACUGAGGCUCGAAAGUGUGGGUAUCAAACAGGAUUAGAUACCCCAGUAGUC